GAUGAACGCUGGCGGCGUGCCUAAUACAUGCAAGUCGAGCGAACAGAUGAGGAGCUUGCUCCUCUGACGUUAGCGGCGGACGGGUGAGUAACACGUGGAUAACCUACCUAUAAGACUGGGAUAACUUCGGGAAACCGGAGCUAAUACCGGAUAAUAUAUUGAACCGCAUGGUUCAAUAGUGAAAGACGGUUUUGCUGUCACUUAUAGAUGGAUCCGCGCCGCAUUAGCUAGUUGGUAAGGUAACGGCUUACCAAGGCGACGAUGCGUAGCCGACCUGAGAGGGAGAGCGGCCCAAAGGGAAGUGAGACACGGCCCAGACGCCUACGGGAGGAACAAGUAGGGAAUCUUCCGAAAUGGGCGAAAGCGUGACAGACCAUCGUGGCGUGAGAGAAAAAGGUUUUCGGAUCGUAAAACUCUGUUAUUGGGGAAGAACAAAUGUGUAAGGAACAAUGCACGUCUUGACGGUACCUAAUCAGAAAGCCACGGCUAACUACGUC
rnacentral:rRNA from 1 species